GUUGGGGUGUUGCUCCCUCCACCACCACCCUUUGCUCCCUCCACCUCCCCAUUCCCGUUUUACCCCCUCCCUCCACCUUCCUAUUCUUGUUUUAUCCCCUACAUGAAUGGGAUGAUCCAGUUUAUGCUUAACCAACAAACAUUUGUUAUUGACAGUUAUGUUGUUUCUUUCUCUCUUAGAUCUCAUCACCCAAACAACACAACCAUUUUAAUGGUGAACCCAUGUUUCUAUGUAUCAUUUUCUUCUGCCUCUCUCUCU
rnacentral:lncRNA from 1 species